rnacentral:rRNA from 1 species
UACGAGGGGGGCAAGCGUUGUUCGGAAUUAUUGGGCGUAAAGGGCGCGUAGGCGGAUAGGGAAGUCAGAUGUGAAAUCCUGGGGCUCAACCCCAGAACUGCAUUUGAAACUCCCUAUCUAGAGGGUGGGCGGAGAUAACGGAAUUCCACAAGUAGCGGUGAAAUGCGUAGAUAUGUGGAAGAACACCGGUGGCGAAGGCGGUUAUCUAGCUUACUCCUGACGCUGAGGCGCGAAAGCAAGGGGAUCAAACAGG